rnacentral:rRNA from 1 species
GAGUUUGAUUAUGGCUCAGGAUGAACGCUAGCGAUAGGCUUAACACAUGCAAGUCGAGGGGCAGCAUGAACUUAGCUUGCUAAGUUUGAUGGCGACCGGCGCACGGGUGCGUAACGCGUAUGCAACUUGCCUUACAGAGGGGGAUAACCCGUUGAAAGACGGACUAAUACCGCAUAUACUUAUUCGGUUGCAUGACCGGGCAAGGAAAUAUUUAUAGCUGUAAGAUAGGCAUGCGUCCCAUUAGCUGGUUGGUGAGGUAACGGCUCACCAAGGCAACGAUGGGUAGGGGAACUGAGAGGUUUAUCCCCCACACUGGUACUGAGACACGGACCAGACUCCUACGGGAGGCAGCAGUGAGGAAUAUUGGUCAAUGGGCGAGAGCCUGAACCAGCCAAGUCGCAUGAAGGAAGACUGUCCUAAGGAUUGUAAACUUCUUUUAUACGGGAAUAAACGGGCGAUACGCGUA